CCCAGUAGAUUGUAUACCAUGGACCAAUAUUAUAGGCAGCAGGGCACCACAGCAAGAUACGGUUACAAGACUCCUCUUUUUGCACAAAAAACAUCUAUUAAUCAGAAUGUUCCCCCUCCUUCUAAGCAUGUCAAUAGUAAGAAUACACUCUCUGACAGCUUCCCACACAAAAAAAGCCACUCUAGGUGGAGCAUUCAAUCUCCAGAUUUAUUUAUGCGGAAAACAGCCAGCCUCCCCCC
rnacentral:lncRNA from 1 species